CCCCUAGAUGUUCUGGGCCGCACGCGCGCUACACUGAACAGUUCAACAAGUCUUAACCUUGGCCGAUAGGUCUGGGUAAUCUUUGAACGCUGUUCGUGAUUGGGAUAGACCUUUGCAAUUAUGGGUCUUCAACGAGGAAUUCCUAGUAAACGCAAGUCAUCAGCUUGCAUUGAUUACGUCCCUGCCCUUUGUACACACCGCCCGUCGCACCUACCGAUUGAAUGGUUCGGUGAAAUCUCGGGACGGCGGCUUGGUCGCUUGCGUCCGACUGCUGAAACUUGAUUAAACCAUAUCAUUUAGAGGAAGGUGAAGUCGUAACA
rnacentral:rRNA from 1 species